UAGAUCAUCCUCUUUCCCCUCUGGUAAUGUAAUCUCUCUCUCUCUCUUUUUUUUUUUUUUUAAUUAGGCAUGUGGCCCUGUGGAAUAAAGCCUGCCUUUUCAACUGACCUGAUUGCUAGAUAUGGACAUGUGAUUCAAUCCUGGCUAAUGGGAUAGAGGUAGAAGUGGUGUAUACAACUUGCAGAAAGCAUCCCUAAAGUGCAAAGGCAAGUGAAACCGGACUCCGCACAAAAGAAGAGGGAAGACCUUAACUCAUCAUAUAGAUUCCAUCUCAUUUUUCCAGGCGACCCCAGUGGGCUUUGCCAGUGACAAAAUGCCAGAGAUGCUGUCUUUAUGUGACUGAAAACAUGCCUGCCAGCAGAUCCUGCUUAGCAACCCCAGGAGAAACAGCAUUCUUGAGCAUCUAGGUAUCAAACCUAGAGAAGGACUUUAUCUCUGCUUAGGUCACUUGUAAAUCCACUAAUCACUGCUAGUUCAAAUUAAACAAGUUCAAGUUCCAUGGCCACCUCUGCAGCAAGGGAGGCAAAGUCUGUAACUAAAGAAAGAGUCCUACAUCAAGAGUACAAGACAACAGAGGUAAAGACCAAGGAAUUACCUUUUUUCAAUCUUUAUCUGAGAACUAUCUCAAGUCAUAACCAACCAAAUGUGACACUGGAGGAGAGGGGAAUAAGCUGACAACCGAUUAAUAAACUGAGGCUGUGUGAAGGCGGU